rnacentral:rRNA from 1 species
GAGCAGGCGAUAUCGUAUCAGCUAGUUGGUGAGGUAACGGCCCACCAAGGCGAUGACGCGUAACUGGUCUGAGAGGACGGCCAGUCACAUCGGGACUGAGACACUGCCCGGACUCCUACGGGGGGCUGCAGUAACGAAUCUUCCUCAAUGCACGAAAGUGUGAGGGAGCGACGCCGCGUGUAGGACGAAGUCCUUCGGGAUGUAAACUACUGUCAGGGGUUACCAAGUUCUGAGGAGCCCCAGAGGAAGAGGCGGCUGACUCUGUGCCAGCAGCCGCGGUAAGACAGAGGCCUCGAGCGUUAGGCGGAAUCACUGGGCUUAAAGCGCGUGUAGGCGGAUCGUUAAGUACUUUGUGAAAUCCCACGGCUCAACCGUGGAACUGCUGAGUAUACUGGCGAUCUUGGGUCAUUCAGGGGUUGCCGGAACAAGCGGUGGUGCGGUGAAAUGCGUAGAUAUCGCUUGGAACGCCAAAGGUGAAGACAGGCAACUGGGGAUGUACCGACGCUGAGACGCGAAAGCCAGGGGAGCAAACGGGAUUAGAU